GCUUAGCUGCGCCGUCGCUGCUCUCUCCGUGCUUUAAUCUGAUUCCAGGCUUCUUCAGAGGUAACAACCGUGGAGAAAAGAAGGUGUACUCUCAAUGACUGACAUCGAAAAGCCUCUCGGAAGAUGGACUCUCAAUGACUUUGGCAAGGGAAAAGAGGAGCAAUCACUAAGGUGCUUUCCAAGAGCCAAGGGGUUGCUAGGGAGUCAUAUUGGGUGAAUGUAGGAAAGCCACAACAAUAUCAUAUUGUCGGUUUUGAGGUAUCUAUUUCGAUCGUCUCAGGCGAUGGGACCAGGUUUUUUCUUGAUGUUCAUAUCUUAGGCGGCGGGACCAUUUUUUUGUUGUUGUUGUUCAUGUUUGAGGCGGCGGGACCAUUUUUUUACGUUGUUGUUGUUAGUCUUUGUUUGGCCCAUUUGUAAUUUUGGAUAGUUGCAAACUCGCUAUUAUGUCGCAUUGUGGCUUUAAGCACGGGGAAUUCCUACGAUUAUGCUUGGGUUUUUUUUUUUUUUUUUUGUGUAGUUGGGUUUGUUGGACAAGGGUUGAUAUAUUGCACGUGAGUCCAAUGUCUAUUUGUGUGUGCGAUCGUUUGAGCCAUGACUUCAGACACGGGCAUGAACCUAAUUUAAGAAAACAAAUCUUCCUGUACAAAUCAGCUUCGUUGGCGGGGGUGGUCAAUAGUUUUGUAAUUCAUUUUAGUUGUAUUUAAAAUGUGUUGCGCCGUGCCCUCAGACACAGGCAUUCACUAGUUCAUUUAUAUAAUAAGGGAGAACGGUUUUUAAAUCUUAUGUCCUACAUAAAUUCUAACCAUUAAUUUGCCCCAUAAAUCCUACGGCUCUCCUUCUCCCUCUCUCUUUCAACAGUGGUAAUUGCACAAUUGCCACUAAUUAGAUCUUACGUUCAAAGUUGAGAUCUCUCUCUCUCUCUCUCUCUCUCUCUCUCUCUCUCUCUCUCUCUCAUCUUCUUCUACGUUCCCUUUCUGGCUCUUCACUCCCAAAGCUGACACCCCUCCUCAACCCUGUGAUUUUCUUCAAGAAUGAAUACUCUCUCUCUCUCUCAUCUUCUUCUACGUUCCCUUUCUGGCUCUUCACUCCCAAAGCUGACACCCCUCAUCAACCCUAUGAUUUUGUUCAAGAAUGAAUACUCUCUCUCUAUCUCUCUCUCUAUCUCUCUCUCUCCUCUUCUUCUACGUACCCUUUCUGGCUCUCCACUCCCAAAGCCGACACCCCUCCUCAGCCCUAUGAUUUUCUUCGAGAAUGAAUACUUUUUCUAGAUCAAUUUUGGUCACAAAUCCAAUGAUAGAUCAAUGACUUGUCCUCCUCAUCUUCUCUCUCUACACACACUCCCAAAUGCAGCCGAUUUGAAACCAGGUUGACUCCAUUUUUUUUCUCAAUUUAAAUGGCUAUUUCGAUUGCAAAGCUCUCACCAUUGUUCAAUCUAUCACGGGAUUGUUUAAUUUUGGGUCAAGGUUUGAUUUUGCAAUUUUGUUUUGAUUUCA